rnacentral:rRNA from 1 species
UACGUAGGGUGCAAGCGUUAAUCGGAAUUACUGGGCGUAAAGCGUGCGCAGGCGGUUAUUUAAGACAGAUGUGAAAUCCCCGGGCUCAACCUGGGAACUGCAUUUGUGACUGUAUAGCUAGAGUACGGUAGAGGGGGAUGGAAUUCCGCGUGUAGCAGUGAAAUGCGUAGAUAUGCGGAGGAACACCGAUGGCGAAGGCAAUCCCCUGGACCUGUACUGACGCUCAUGCACGAAAGCGUGGGGAGCAAACAGG